rnacentral:tRNA from 1 species
AGGAGAAAAGCCUCAGAGGGCGGGUCUCAAGGAUCAGUUUGUGUUGCGCGCCCGGGUCCGCGACGUCGCAAGCCCACUUUUGCGCAGGCGGGGGCGACGGCUUUUGCGAACGCGUACGCAAACGCGUGCGUGCGCGCGCCCGCUCAGCAUUCUGCGCCGAGACUGCUGUUUCGAGGGUAAAUCCUUUGAGCUGUAACUGGGCUUUUGUUUUCGAAACUACAACUCCCAGCAUGCUUCGACCCUCAUAUUGAUACUAGGUGUGGCUUCUCAGGAUAGGGUAAAGAUAAUCUUAAGUGACGAUGACGUACCAAGGAGAAAAAAAAUUGAACAUGAUGUUUGAGCGUCUCGCUCGCAGAAGCCCCAGUGGCCUAAUGGAUAAGGCAUUGGCCUCCUAAGCCAGGGAUUGUGGGUUCGAGUCCCAUCUGGGGUGGUUGUAUUUUUACUUUAAGAUGCUCUCUUCUCUUUUCUGAAACGAUUAUACCUAAGUAAGUCACUUUCAUUUUACUUUUUUGAAAAAUGGAAUAG